rnacentral:rRNA from 1 species
CCUACGGGUGGCAGCAGUGAGGAAUAUUAGUCAAUGGGCGCGAGCCUGAACCAGCCAAGUCGCGUGAGGGAAGACGGUCCUAUGGAUUGUAAACUUCUUUUAUAUGGGAAUAAAAUGUUCCACGUGUGGGAUUUUGUAUGUACCAUAUGAAUAAGGAUCGGCUAACUCCGUGCCAGCAGCCGCGGUAAUACGGAGGAUCCGAGCGUUAUCCGGAUUUAUUGGGUUUAAAGGGAGCGUAGGUGGAUUGUUAAGUCAGUUGUGAAAGUUUGCGGCUCAACCGUAAAAUUGCAGUUGAAACUGGCAGUCUUGAGUACAGUAGAGGUGGGCGGAAUUCGUGGUGUAGCGGUGAAAUGCUUAGAUAUCACGAAGAACUCCGAUUGCGAAGGCAGCUCACUGGACUGCAACUGACACUGAGGCUCGAAAGUGUGGGUAUCAAACAGGAUUAGAUACCCGUGUAGUC